UGGGGGAUAUUGCACAAUGGGCGAAAGCCUGAUGCAGCGACGCCGCGUGGGGGAUGAAGGCUUUCGGGUUGUAAACCUCUUUCGCUAUCGAACAAGGCCCGCUUAGGGUGGGUUGAGGGUAGGUGGAGAAGAAGCGCCGGCUAACUACGUGCCAGCAGCCGCGGUAAUACGUAGGGCGCGAGCGUUGUCCGGAAUUAUUGGGCGUAAAGGGCUUGUAGGCGGCUUGUUGCGCCUGCUGUGAAAACGGGGGGCUUAACUUCGCGCGUGCAGUGGGUACGGGCAGGCUUGAGUGUGGUAGGGGUGACUGGAAUUCCAGGUGUAGCGGUGGAAUGCGCAGAUAUCUGGGGGAACACCGAUGGCGAAGGCAGGUCACUGGGCCAUUACUGACGCUGAGGAGCGAAAGCAUGGGUAGCGAACAGG
rnacentral:rRNA from 1 species